rnacentral:rRNA from 1 species
AUUGAACGCUGGCGGCAGGCCUAACACAUGCAAGUCGAGCGGAUGAAGGGAGCUUGCUCCUGGAUUCAGCGGCGGACGGGUGAGUAAUGCCUAGGAAUCUGCCUGGUAGUGGGGGAUAACGUCCGGAAACGGGCGCUAAUACCGCAUACGUUCUGAGGGAGAAAGUGGGGGAUCUUCGGACCUCACGCUAUCAGAUGAGCCUAGGUCGGAUUAGCUAGUUGGUGGGGUAAAGGCCUACCAAGGCGACGAUCCGUAACUGGUCUGAGAGGAUGAUCAGUCACACUGGAACUGAGACACGGUCCAGACUCCUACGGGAGGCAGCAGUGGGGAAUAUUGGACAAUGGGCGAAAGCCUGAUCCGGCCAUGCCGCGUGUGUGAAGAAGGUCUUCGGAUUGUAAAGCACUUUAAGUUGGGAGGAAGGGCAGUAAGUUAAUACCUUGCUGUUUUGACGUUACCAACAGAAUAAGCACCGGCUAACUUCGUG